rnacentral:rRNA from 1 species
AUUGAACGCUGGCGGCAGGCUUAACACAUGCAAGUCGAGCGGAGAGAGGUAGCUUGCUACUGAUCUUAGCGGCGGACGGGUGAGUAAUGCUUAGGAAUCUGCCUAUUAGUGGGGGACAACAUUUCGAAAGGAAUGCUAAUACCGCAUACGUCCUACGGGAGAAAGCAGGGGAUCUUCGGACCUUGCGCUAAUAGAUGAGCCUAAGUCGGAUUAGCUAGUUGGUGGGGUAAAGGCCUACCAAGGCGACGAUCUGUAGCGGGUCUGAGAGGAUGAUCCGCCACACUGGGACUGAGACACGGCCCAGACUCCUACGGGAGGCAGCAGUGGGGAAUAUUGGACAAUGGGCGCAAGCCUGAUCCAGCCAUGCCGCGUGUGUGAAGAAGGCCUUAUGGUUGUAAAGCACUUUAAGCGAGGAGGAGGCUACUUUAGAUAAUACCUAGAGAUAGUGGACGUUACUCGCAGAAUAAGCACCGGCUAACUCUGUGCCAGCAGCCGCCGCCGUA